rnacentral:rRNA from 1 species
CACGUAGGGGGCGAGCGUUGUCCGGAAUCAUUGGGCGUAAAGAGCGUGUAGGCGGCCCGGUAAGUCCGCUGUGAAAGUCCAGGGCUCAACCCUGGGAUGCCGGUGGAUACUGUCGGGCUCGAGUCCGGAAGAGGAGUGUGGAAUUCCGUGGUGUAGCGGUGAAAUGCGGCAGAUAUCAGGAGGAACACCAAUGGCGAAGGCAGCACUCUGGGACGUGACUGACGCUGAGACGCGAAAGCGUGGGAGCAACAGG